UUGACAGCCCUACCUGCUAGUUUUUCUUCUUCCUUUUUCUCCCCUUCGUCGUUCGUUGUGGAUCGUGGCUGGCGGGGCUGGUGCCGAUCUUUGGACUUUAACAUGUCUAUAGAGCUGAAACUUUCUCGAUCAAACCGUAUCUAUUGCCCCAAUGAACCAAUUGAUGGUAAAAUUAUCACAAAAUUUCCAUCUUCAAUUUCUCACCAAGGAAUCCGAAUCACUACCACUGGAACCGUCAACUUGCAGGUUCGUGGUGGGUCGGCAGGAGUUAUCGAGUCCUUGUAUGGAGUUGUUAAACCCAUACCAAUCAUAAGCAAGACUUUGGAUAUCAGAUCUUCUGGGAGGAUUAGUUCAGGAACAACCGAGAUACCUUUCUCUGUAACAUUGAGACCACGAGGACAUGAUGGUUCUGAAAUAUUUUAUGAGACCUUCCAUGGAGCAAACAUCAGCAUCCAGUAUUUGAUAACAGCAGACCUUGUGAGAGGGUAUCUACAUAAAUCAUUGUCUGCUACUAUGGAGUUCAUUGUUGAAAGUGAUAAAGCUAAUCUUCUUCAGGCACCAGACUCUCCUGAAAUGGUUAGCUUUUAUAUCACACGGGACACACAAAGACAUCCGCUGCUUCCUGAACUAUCUUCAGGUGAGUUUCGAGUCACGGGAAAAAUCUGUACUCAAUCCUCUCUUCUCGAUCCUAUCAAUGGGGAGGUGACGGUAGAAUCAUCCACAGUUCCUAUAAACUCUAUCGAUAUUCAUCUACUCCGAAUAGAGUCAAUUCUGGUUGGGGAAAAGAUUGUGACUGAGACCUCGGUGAUUCAAACUACACAGAUAGCUGAUGGUGAUGUUUGUCGAGGAAUGACUUUACCCAUAUAUGUCAUUCUUCCUCGCCUUUUGACUUGUCCGACCAUCUUUGCAGGGAGUGGUGCCAAGGACCUGAUAGCUCAUGCACCAUCGUUUUCCAAAGAAAUCCAUGACAAGUUCUGUAUGGUAAGUGAUAACUAUAAGGAAUGCAGCUUCAGCCAUAUUGCUUGGUAAGAAAAGCGGAUGAGGAGUUUUGGAGCAUUAACUACCAAAAAAACUAGAAAGCGUAAAUUAAUGAGUAAAUUGUUGUUAUCUUGCUUUUUACAAGUUUGUUUCUAUAUGAUUACAUGUACUCCCACCACUGUAGUUUGUGCAUGAAUUUUAUUGACCAGCUAGAGUAUAUGUUUCCUCUGACUGACCUGUGAACCACUUCCUUUCUCUGAGCAGUUCCUGGUUAUGCCAAGUGUAAAUUUUUUUUUUGUUAAUCAGCCAUUUGAUAGUCUGACAUGGAAAAACAAAUUAAUCAAGUUAUGGAAACCUAUUGUUUGGCAAUUUCAGGCCAUUUUCAAUUGAAUUUCAGUUUUCUGUUGUGAUUAGCUUCCAGUCAGAGUUAUCGAAACUUCAACCGAAGGCUGAUCCUCGAACUCCCAGGCUUUGG